CUCCUUCGCUGUUUUCCUUUUGAUUAUCGGCUUCUGCAGGUUCUUCAGGCUGGACAGAGUGUUCUGCUUCUUCUUCUUCUUGUUCUUCUUCCUCUUUUUCCUG
rnacentral:sRNA from 1 species